GGGAGUUUUUACACAUUGCAUUUUUGAUCCCUAUCUGAGACCAGUCAAAUCAGAACAUUGGAAUGAGUCCUGGGAUAAUUCGCAUUUUGUCUGCUUCCUCAUCCAGGGUGAUGCAUUGAAUUGUGACCCAUGCAGUUAAAUGAAGUCCUGGGGAAAAGCAUGUCUUUGAGACUGUAGAGAGAUAUUGAAGCUGUUUUAGGACACCAGCUGAAACUACAAUGGAGUGUGCAUCAUGAAAAUGGAUCUGUUUAUAGCACCAUUGUCAACAAAAGCAGACAUGGAAUCAAGCAAGGUGUCUAUUGGAUGAAUGGAUAAAGAAAAUGUGGCAUAUAUAGACACAAUGAAAUAUUAUUCAGCUGUUAAAGAAAUGAAAUCCUGUAAUUUUAACAAAAUGGAUGAAACUAGAGGACAUCAUCUUGAGUGAAAUAAGUCAGACACACAGAAAGACAAAUAGCACAUUUCUAACUGGGAACUAAAAUUAAAAAACAAAAAACAAUUUGAACACAGAAGAAUGAUGAUUAUUAUAGGCUGGGAGGGAUGGGAAGGAUAAAAGUUUUGGGCUAAAAAAUAAGGGAAGGGGCAUGGUUUGUGAAUUGUGAUAAAGAUACUAUUAUAAGAUGCUAAUGGGGAAAAGGAGAAAGGGGUGAAUGGGAACUGUCUUAACAUCUCACAACUUCUGCAAACUAAUCUAAAAUCUGCAAACUAAUCUAAAACUGUUCUGAAGUAAGAUGUCAAAAAGAUUAAAACAAACAGAAAUGCAAAAGUGUCCAUCCAUUUCCCUUUUAGGAAGAGAAACUGUUGUGAAUCAGAUUAGAAAUGAGGUUGGUCCCAGUUCCUCUCACAAUCGAACUUAAGGUGUGCAUGCCUGAGUGUGUACUUUUGAGUUUCUCAGCUGCUUCACUCCUCAAUUGCUUAGUCCAGGAUGCACGAAGGAAAUUCACUAGAUAGGCAUUUGCGAUCUGAGCUGUUGCUAAUUUGCUGUGAAUUUUAAGCAAACCUGUGAAAUCCAGUCCUCUCCUGUAUAACAAAUAUGUCUCACUGGCCAAUGCAUAGGUCCUCCAAGCACAUUUGACUGAUAGAUAAGGACAACUCUCGAAUAAAGUCACACCAGGUCAUAUCUGAAAAACUACCUUAUUAUUAUC